AAGAAGGUGCCAGUCUUGCCAGUAGGCGGGGUUUCUCGCGCGCACUCCCGGAAACGCAUUGGAGUCCCGCCUUGCAGCCCGGAGACGCGUUGCCGCCGCCGCUCCCCGCCGCCGUCGCCUCCGCCACCGCCACCGCCGCCGCGUCUGCUGCGCCUGUCAUGCCGAAACACGAGUUCUCCGUGGACAUGUCCUGUGAAGGCUGUGCCGAUGCCGUCAGUCGAGUGCUCAACAGGAUAGAAGGAGUAGAGUUUACAAUUGACCUGUCCAACAAGAAGGUUUGCAUCACUUCUGAACACAGUGUGGACGUCCUGUUGGCAACCCUGAAGAAAACGGGAAAGGCCGUUUCCUACCUCGGCCCCAAGUAGCAACAGCCUGGAACCCCAGCCCUCAGGAUGGACCAAAGGGGACAGGGGCAGUUUCCACGUCUGCAUCAUGCAUAACACCUGAGCCUUGAGGAACUUGUCCCCUCCCUGGCCCUGCACCGGGAAAGAGGAAAAGUCCUGAGAGGCCCAGCUCUGCAAAGAAAGCAGCUCUCCACAAGCCCCAGAGGCAGAAGGGCCCAAUACCGUCUGCUCAGCUUGGAGGAGCCUCCCCACAUAACUUGGCCACCGAGUCAGCAAAAUGAUUUGUGUGACCCAGACGGCAGCCCAGACACAGCGCCGCUCCUUUCUGAAGCCAGCAAACCUUCUGCACGCCCACGUUCCCCUCCGCCCGCCGUGACUCUCCUGCCCAUUCUCAGGGGGACAGUGGCUGCCCUCUUGGUCUCAUAGAGGGGAGAAGAAGCUCUACGGCUGCUGACUUCACGAGAGGUCCCCUCACAGUCAGAGAGUGGACUUCUGCGAAAGUGACAGAAAACCCAGCCCCAGCCAGUGUAAGCAAAAGGGGAUUUACGGGCUCAUGCAGAGGAAACGCGCAGAAGUAGGGCUGUGUAUCACAUGUACCACAAAAACCCGGUUGCAGCUCUUUCAGUCUCCCUCUGCAAGCAGUGUGGCCCCCGCGAUGUGUGACGGGCUGAGAUCCCAUCAGACAGCCUUGCUUUAAGGAGCGCAUUCCCCUGGACACUGCUUCGUCCCAAGUCUGCCAGCCAAGGAGGAGGAAGAGGGGAAGAGGGCAAAGUCUCCCUCCUUUCAGAGCUUUCCCAGAAGAGCCACACACUGAUUUCUGCUUAGAAAUCACUGGGGAAACCACGUCACAUGGCCUCCAUGCCUUGUGAGGGGGGAAGCUGAGUAUUUGGGGCUGGACGUGGAACUCCCUGAGCAGAACCAGGUCUGCUGAUAUGGGCAGACCAGAAUGUAAACAGCAGUGUCUGCUCCAGGGGCCCAGGCCACAGUUCCAGGGCCGGUUUCUCUGGUGCUCUCUGUCUCUCUCUGUCUCUCUUGCUCUCGCUUUCACUCUCUCUCUGUCUCACUUUGCUUCUCUUGCUCUCUCUCUCUCUCUCUCUCUCUCACACACACACACACACACACAUGCAUGCACUCCUUUCUUGUCUUUAUUUAUUUAUUUUGACAGAUAGAGAUAGACAGUGAGAGAGAAAGGUCUUCCUUCGAUUGGUUCACCCCACAAAUGGCCGCCACCGCCAGCGCUGCACCAAUCUGAAGCCAGGAGCCAGAUGCUUCCUCCUGGUCUCCCAUGUGGGUGCAGGUGCCCAAGCACUUGGGCCAUCCUCCACUGCCUUCCCGGGCCACAGCAGAGAGCUGGACUGGAAGUGGAGCAACCAGGACUAGAACCCGGCGCCCAUACGGGAUGCCAGCGCCGCAGGCAGAGGAUUAGCCAAGUGAGCCACGGCACUGGCCCCCUCUCUUGUCUUUAUUGUUCAGUCUUAUGCCCAUCUCUUUCUUUGUCUCUGUCUCUCUGUCUCUCUGUGUCUCUCGCUCUGUCUCACUCUUUGUCUCGCAUGCUCUCUCUCUUUCUCUCUCACACACACAUGCACGAGCAUGCACUCCUGUCUUGUCUUUAUUUCUAGUCUUAUGCCUGUCUCUUUCUUUGUCUUUUCUCUGUCCUCUCUGUCUCUGUGAGCGUCUCUUCCUGUCUCUUGCUUUCUCUUCACUCUGCCCUUCUGCAUCGUGGCUUCAUGUCCAUGUAACCUCCCCUGUGGUCUUCAGAAGGCUGCUGCUUCUCUGAUCUUGCAUCAUUCCUACUCGGGCUGGGAGGAACCAGCCAGAUUGUCUGUUGCAGCUGCAACAUUCCAUCCCAUGUCCAUGCUGGGAGAGUUACUGUGGCCCCAGGGAACGGGAUGGACUAGCCUGGUCACUUGUGCUUUUUCUGAGCAGGUCUGAGGGUGCAGAUCAGGAUGUUGCCCAAGAAGAAAAUCAGAGCAUGAUUCUCAAAAAAAACAAAAAUGGUGCUGGUGGUCCCAAAUCAGACCAGACGAAUCAUAAACCAGUGUCUACUGCUGAAUCUUAAGCAGGAUCAUGCUCAAAGGCUUCUAAAUCACUGAAGAUCAACUAGAUCUUCCCAAAUAUUGGAUUAUAGUGUCAUGUUUUAGGGGUGGGCCUUGUGGCAUUACCAGCUAAGCCACUUCUUUUGACACCCACAUUCCUUAUCAGAGCGCUGGUUCAAGUCCCUGCUGCUUUGCUUUCCACUCAGCUCCCUGCUAAUGCCUCUGGGGAAGGCAGCAGAUGAUAGCUCAACUGCUUGGGCCCCUGCCAUCCGUAUGGGAGACCCAGAUGGAGUUCCCAGCUCCUGGCUUCGGCCUGGCCCCCAUCUAGCUAUCACAGCCAUUUGGGAAGUGAACCAGCGGACUGAAGAUCUAUCACUCUCUCUCUCUGUCUCUGCUUCUCUGUAUGUCACUCUGCUUUUCGAGUAAAUAAAUAAAUAUAAAAACAAUAUGUUUUAAAUAUAUAUAGAUACAUUUACAUACAUUUAAAGUAAGUUUUAAAACGUAAAAUAGUAUUUUUAAAACAUUAAAAUUGGUAAAACACUACUUGUAACUAGUUUUACAAUGGGAUUUGUAUAUACAUUCACUUGCAUUCGGAGCUGUAUUCCUAGGGUGUGACCAAGGUCCCAGGCUAGUACCUAUCACUUCAUUGUUAAGUGUUUUGAGUUUGAAUGUCUUUAGAUAGGGUAGCUACUCUCCAGCUCCCUGUGCUCAUCCUUGGGUAUGAAACUGGGCUACUUCACCAAAUCCUAACACCUGGCUGUGGUUGUUUAGUGCAGUGCUUGGGACCACUUGGGGUGUCUGCAUCCCAUACUGGAGUGCCUGAAAUCAGGCUCUGAGUCUACAGACCCCGGCUACCUGCUAAUGUGCGCCCUAGGAGGAAGCUUAAGUACUUAGGUCCUAGCUGCCUAAAUGGGAAACCCAAAUGAGUUCCUGGCUCUGUGCUUUGGCCUGACCCAGCCUCAGCUGUUUAUGGACAUUUGGAGAAUGAACCAGUGCUGUUCUCUGUACCUUUCACUCUGACUCUCUGCCUUUCAAUACAUAAACAUAAAAUAAAUAAACAUUUUUAAAAUAUUUA